rnacentral:rRNA from 1 species
AUUGAACGCUGGCGGCAGGCCUAACACAUGCAAGUCGAGCGGAUGAAGGGAGCUUGCUCCUGGAUUCAGCGGCGGACGGGUGAGUAAUGCCUAGGAAUCUGCCUGGUAGUGGGGGAUAACGUCCGGAAACGGGCGCUAAUACCGCAUACGUCCUGAGGGAGAAAGUGGGGGAUCUUCGGACCUCACGCUAUCAGAUGAGCCUAGGUCGGAUUAGCUAGUUGGUGGGGUAAAGGCCUACCAAGGCGACGAUCCGUAACUGGUCUGAGAGGAUGAUCAGUCAAACUGGAACUGAGACACGGUCCAGACUCCUACGGGAGGCAGCAGUGGGGAAUAUUGGACAAUGGGCGAAAGCCUGACCCAGCCAUGCCGCGUGUGUGAAGAAGGUCUUCGGAUUGUAAAGCACUUUAAGUUGGGAGGAAGGGCAGUAAGUUAAUACCUUGCUGUUUUGACGUUACCAACAGAAUAAGCACCGGCUAACUUCGUG